rnacentral:rRNA from 1 species
CCUACGGGGGGCAGCAGUGGGGAAUAUUGCACAAUGGGGGAAACCCUGAUGCAGCGACGCCGCGUGAGUGAAGAAGUAAUUCGUUACGUAAAGCUCUAUCAGCAGGGAAGAAACACUGACCUUACGGUCAGCAGACGGUACCUGAGUAAGAAGCCCCGGCUAACUACGUGCCAGCAGCCGCGGUAAUACGUAGGGGGCAAGCGUUAUCCGGAUUUACUGGGUGUAAAGGGAGCGUAGACGGUGCGCCAAGUCUGGGGUGAAAUGCCGCGGCUUAACUGCAGAACUGCUUUUGAAACUGGCGAACUAGAGUGCGUGAGGGGUAAGCGGAAUUCCUAGUGUAGCGGUGAAAUGCGUAGAUAUUAGGAGGAACACCGGUGGCGAAGGCGGCUUACUGGACCGUAACUGACGUUGAGGCUCGAAAGCGUGGGGAGCAAACAGGAUUAGAUACCCGAGUAGUC